AAUGUGUAAGUGAUGGACUUCUAUGAGUGAAAUGUUUCCUGAGAUGUUAGUGUGACCGAGUUUUAUUUGAGUCAAUGAUAAAUAUGUAAAUAAAAUCCUGGCUAACGACCUGUUAUAGACAUACACAGUAUAUUUAAGUACCUAUAUGUUAUAAAGAAAACAUGUGAUUAAAGUGAACAUACUGGUACAUAAUCAUUUUAAUGGAUGUUUACAGGAAAUAAGAGGACACCUGUUACUGGGCAGUUCAUUGAUGGUGCAUUUAGGGCAUCAUGUAAGCAGAACCAGGUAUGGGAUAACCCUACCGUGGGAAAGAAAUGCAAACGGAAAAGUGAUCUUGGGUUUGUCAGUCUCUGGGAGCAAGCUGCAAAACAAUCUGCGCACAGCAAAAAGGAGACAGGAGGAACUGAGAGGAAGAAAAGUGCUCCUGUUAACAGGGACCGAUGAUGUGUUGGCAAACUCUAGAUAUAAGUGGUUGUACCUGAAGUAUAACAACCUUGUGCAGUUUUUGCUGAGCAUCGAUUGUGAGCUGGUGCUCAUGACGGUGCCUCCCAUACGAGUUCUGCCAAAGGAGGAUGGAAGGAAUGAUCUCCUGCUCAAGUUUAAUCAACUUGUCAGGCACAUCGCAGAAAACAAGAGUCUAUGCCUGAUAGACAUUUUCACAUUGUUUACGGAUGGGCCAAUCAAGGAAAUGAUGUUUGAGGAGUUCUGCCAUAGCGGAAUAAUUGAUCAGCUUCAUUGGAACAACCAGGGGAUGGAGGAGGUCGUUCGUAAAAUCGAAACUGAACUAUGAUGACUUAUUCCAGGGAUUAUUCCUUUGACGAUGCCUCUGGCCGAAGAAAAAUUUUAAGGUCGUAUACUUUUUUAAUUAUUAGCAUGUAUUCUUUUUCUGCUUUACAUUUAAGUAUUUUCAGACAAGGGUCUUAAGACCUGAUUCUUAGAUUUAACUGGUGUAUAUUACAGUUUAAUUUCUUAACGAUGCCUCUGGCUGAAAAAAAAGUUAAGGUAAUAAAUAUUUUUUUAUUAUUAGCAUGUGUUCUAUUUCGACUUUACAUUUAAAUAUUUUAAGACAAAGGUCUUAAGACCUGAUUCUUGGAUGAAACUGUUAUACAUUACGGCUUAUUUCCUUAACGAUGCCUCUGGCUGAGAAUAAAAAUUUAAGGUCAUAUAUUUUUUAAUUAAUAACAUGGUUUCUUUUCCUACUUAGUGUUUUCAUACAAUAGUCUUAAUAACCGGUUCUUGGAUUUAAGUGGUAUACGUUACGGCUUUCUUUAACGAUGCCUCUGGCUGAAGAAGUGUAAUGUGGCAUAUUUAAAUUUAUUGGCAUGGAUUUUUUUCUUUCUUAUUUUCAGUUAUGUGUUUUCAGACAGACCUUCAGUCCUGGUUCUUAUACAAAAGUAGUGCAUGCUAAGUCAUCGUGACAGCUAGUGGAACUUCACUUAGGAAUCUUAGGCCUCCUGAAUGUCUGCAGAAAUUUUUCCAAGCAUAUGUGAUAUGUCAAAAAGAUAUGUGAAAACUGCUGAAAAUGUUGCCAAAGAAAGAGGCUAGAUUGCCAACACCUAAUAAGUAAUAACAUUGGGAAUACUGACUUCGGUACUGCAAAAAUAAAUGUAACUGAAUAUAUAAUGUAAACAGAUAAUUUACACUGUCAUUUAUUUGGUUUCGUAUACAAGACACAUUGUAAGUGAUAUGAAUAUAAAUAUAAAGGUAACAUGUUUUACCGUAUUUACUCGAAUAUAGGUCACACCCAUAAUUUGAGGUCUUGAAUUUGGUAUUUAAGAUUCCCCCCAUAUAGGUCGCACCCAUAAUUUGAGGUCUUGAAUUUGGUAUUUAAGAUUCCCCCCAUAUAGGUCGCACCGGUAAUUUAAUGACGCGAACUGCCGGCGCGCCGUGCACGAAAGAGUAAACGGGUACUGUAAGACUCCGCUACUAGGAGAGCUGAUAAUGGCGUGAUAAAUUGUUGUAACAAGUACUCGUAAUAACCGAAUAUAGAAAAUUGAAGUCAAGUUAGAUUCCUAACUUCUUAAAAUGUCUUAAUUGUAGACUAUAACUCAAAAACAGUGCUUUGUAUUGAAAAAAUUCACAGAAUAAAAGUUGUAGUAAAUUUAAUUACGAAUAAUAAAGGCCUGUUAUGAUUUUUUAUAUCUACAGUGGUUUUCGUUUUAAACGUGCAAUUGGCCUGACACGUGAAACCAUUGCUUCUCCCCUUCCCUUUUUCUACUUGUUUGCCAUCCAGGUGCAACAUCGCCCUUCAUUUACCAUUUUUUUUUGUGUUUACUGCGUGAACAUUUUCAACAGUUUUUUCCCCCUUCUUCGAAGAUGCCAUUUAAACUUUUGUUGCCUUUAAUUUUUUGUGUGUGUUUGAUUUCUUGUUAUGAAAAUUCGCUUGGUUAAUUAAAAUAUAAGAACAGUGCUAUUAUGAAAUGCUGUGACAUGUUUUUGGAGUAGAUAAUCACAGCGACAGACCGACAGGAUGUGCUCCCGCCCUUGCCGUCAGCGAUGUUUAUUUUGACAGCUCAAGCAAUUAUCCACGACCCUUCACAGCGUAAAAAAAAAAAAGAAAAGAAAAA